rnacentral:lncRNA from 1 species
GGGCUUUCAACUCGGUAGUGUUUCCGCGCGUCUACGUGAGAGGAAGGCUGAUGGCUUUCAGGCCGGCGGAACAAUUGCUCUUGAAGUCCUGAGCCACCAUGGAAGAAGUCUGCCAACCCUGCUUUCCAGUGACUGAGUUGCAAGAAUCCUUCAAGAUGCCAAAAAAAUGACCCCAAAGUGAGCUUUGUGUGUCUCCGAGACCACAUAAAGAAGCUCUGAGACCACAUGGAGAAGAUCAGCCCGGC